UUAUCUCUAGAACGUUAGGCUUCCUGUUUUACUGUUUUAUCCUAGAUUAUCCUCUUUGAUCUGUCCCAGCAUACACCCGUUCUCCCAGAGAUAUGUAAUCGAACAAUGUUAGUUUCUGAAAUUUAAUCUGUUGGGGCUGUUGUUCAUACUUCAAACUUGAAAGCAGGCAACAGUUUACUGAUCAGUAAGCUUGUACUAAGCUACUACUGUUGUUUCCCUUUUCCUUUUCAGUUGCUGGAGACCUUGAUUAAAAACUGUGGUGAUUUUGUUCAUAUGCAAGUUGCUGAGAAGGAUAUACUUCAUGAAAUGGUGAUAGCUAAGAAGAAGAUGCAAGUGCCUUUUAAUAUUCUCCUGUGUCAUUCUUACCUGCCACUUCGACAUGGACAUGCAUAUUUGAAUCCCUGGCAAACAAAUUUCUGGGCUUUUGUUUCUGAGUAACCCUAUUCAGUAAUAAGAAUAAUGUCUCAUCUGUUAUUUCGUGCGAUCUGUAGCCUGACUAUCACGUCAAAGAGAAGAUACUAAUUCUGAUAGACACUUGGCAAGAAGCUUUUGGUGGUGCCCGUGCAAGAUAUCCCCAGUAUUACGCAACAUAUCAAGAGAUGCUGUAUCCGAAUACAUAACUCGUUAACCUGAGACGUUCUUUCCAUGAAAGACACUUAAAUCCAUUCAUAUCUCAAAGACUAGUAGUAUGGAUCUAGCUAGAGCAGUGGGAAAUUGAAUUUUAUUUGUAAAGGAUGUGUUUCCUGAACUACACAAACUAUGAAUGAACAAUCUUGAAAGUUUAUUUUCUGUAACAAAUGUGGUAUGCUUAGAUAGUUUACUUCUACUCUUUGUAUAUUUGGAUGAUGACUAUGACUUAUGUGUUGUGA